GAGAAGACUGUUCGUUCUGGCCGAGUGUUAAUGUUUUCUGUGGGGGCCCAGGCGGGGCAGGAAAGGACUGGCCACCCAGCAGGGUUCCUGGGAUGGAAGGCUGCCUGGAGGGAGGACAGUGUGAGGCUCCAGUCCCCGUCACCUGCCGUUUUCCUCUCCUCCUGCACCUACGCAGCUGUUGAGGUUUGCUACUAGCUGGUGCCAUCAGCCCAGCAGACACCAGCCCAAGAGCCUCGGGGUCCCACAGAUACCAUCACUAAACGCAUCCGCUCCCCAAAUCUGCUGCUGCCCCCACAUGAGGAGUGCCAGCGCCUGUCUGGAAACCCAUUCUUGGUGCUUCUCUUUCCCUUGUGCUGUGGAUCCAAUCCUCCACAGCCUCCUGUGGGCUCACUUCCUGGCCGUGUUGUGACUCCAUCUGUAGUCACGCUAACCUGGGCUCCACUCCCAGUUUACAGCAGUGUGACCUUGGGCACAUCAGUUUACUGUGGGCCUUGGUUUUCUCACCCAUCAGAUGGGACAUGCGUACUGACCUCACGGGCUUGCUGUGAGGACUAGAUGAGAGAAUGCGAGCGUUGGUGAGUAUCUGACUCCUAGAAUAGCCUGUGCUCAGGCUCCUCCAGGCCAUCUCGCCUCUCCCCUGGGAGUCCUCUUCAUCUCCUGCCCACAGAUGAGCUCCUCCCUCCAGUGCCCUCCCUCCAGUGAGGCUAGGGCGCUCCUGCCUUGGGCCUCGGCUGCCUCCACUCUCAGGGUCCCCUGGCUCCCUGGGGUAGGGAAGGCAUGUCGUCCUCCGGACCCUGUGGGCCUCCCCAGCCGUGUCUCCCAGUGGCCUCCCCUCACGAGGCAUCUCUGGCCGGGGGAGGCCCAGUGUGCUCCUAAGUGCUCCCUGCAGCCUGAACUACUGCUCCACGCACACGUCACAUGGCAGAAACCGCUAGGUCCUGGAGCUCCUCCAUGGGACAAAGCUCCUCCUGGGCAGGGGCCGUGACUUCUUCACUGUUGCAGUCCAGAGCCCAGCACAACACCUGACCCAUAGGAGGACCUGUUCAGCGGACAAGGCCGACCAACUGUAGAGUGUGGCCGUGAGGUUGAGAGAGGCCACUCACAAGUGUCCAGGGUCAGCCUCAGGCCAGCCCAGGACAUGAAACCCUUUAAUGGCAUGUAGAGUCAACAGGACUCCGGAGCUGCGGCUGUUCAGUAGGAAAGACCAAAAGCAAAUGGUAAACAAGAGAGAAGACACACAUGCAUGCACAAAUAAAAACAGCAGCACCACCACCACCACCGCCGCCGCCACCACCAGCAAGCCAUGGAAUGCUGGGCCGGAGAGGCUGCCCAGAGAGCUGUCCUGACUCUGAAUUCACAGAAGUCCUUGCUACAAACUCCAACCUUCUAUUCUAUAGAAGCCUUAGCCAGGGCAGAACAUCGGUUACUUGUGGAAGACUCAAGAAUCAGAUCUGAAGUCUGCUCUCCUGGCCUCUUGGUAUGCUCUGUGGUGAGGGAGAUCCGGCAGCAAGCGGGGGGCACCUUCCCCUGGCAAGGACCCUGAGGGGCCCACGGCAAAGCCCUGCUGCUGCUCCCUCCUCAGCCUCAUUCUCACAGUAAGCCUGUCUGCGGAAAGUCAGUGUGGGUGCUGAGGGGCCUUCCAGAGCAGGUGCCGCCAUUUUGUCUGGCUGAAUCCAGGCCCCUCCAGCCAAAAAAUGGAGCACAGAGAUUCAAAAUCCUUAGAGGGAAAUGGAUAAAGGUGCUUUCCGUUCAUGUCUCAGUUUUUGGGAUAUCAAAAAUGGGAGUAUGAAGAGACCUCUAGAGGUAGAUUUUGGGAGUACAUUCAGGAAAAUUUCACAAGCCCCUUUCCUGCCUCUACAAAGCCACUUAUUAAAUA
rnacentral:lncRNA from 1 species